UGUUGAAGUCAGCUUUGCUAGAUGGUA
rnacentral:sRNA from 1 species